ACUGAACGCUGGCGGCAGGCCUAACACAUGCCAGUAGAACGAGUGGCGGACGGGUGAGUAAUGUCUGGGAAACUGCCUGCUGGAGGGGGAUAACUACUGGAAAAGGUAGCUCAUACCUAAUACCACCGGAAGUGCCACAAUGGGAUUAGCUAGUAGGUGGGGUAAAGGCGCACCUAGGCGACGAUCCCUAGCUGGUCUGAGAGGAUGACCAGCCACACUGGAACUGAGACACGGUCCAGACUCCUACGGGAGGCAGCAGUGGGGAAUAUUGCACAAUGGGCGCAAGCCUGAUGCAGCCAUGCCGCGUGUAUGAAGAAGGCCUUCGGGUUUUAAAGUACUUUCAGCGGGGAGGCGUUACCCGCAGAAGAAGCACCGGCUAACUCCGUGCCAGCAGCCGCGGUAAUAC
rnacentral:rRNA from 1 species